GCCGCCAUAGUUCAGUGGCAGAACAGAAAACUCGUAAUUUUCAGACCUGCGUUCGAUUCGCAGUGGCGGCU
rnacentral:tRNA from 2 species